AUCAUCUUUGCCCGAGCCACGCCAAAAUAAACGGUUCAUCGUCCACCGUGGCUGUAAUAUUUAUAAAAUGUCGCGUAUUUGCCCGUUUACGUUUUAUAAAAUACACUUAUUGUUAUUAUAAAAAAACACCCGAGAGUUCCGGUCAACAAUGUUUACAACGGCAAUGCGCACGUCGCUUAUUUUGAUAACUCCUUAUUUUCCUAAAGCUUAGACCACGUCGUAGUGAAUAUAGAUUUCAGUUCCUCAAUAUAUCUGCCUUUAAUGCCAGCUAAAGUCUUCAUAUAAGAAUACCCAUUACCAUCAAACAGUUUCGAUCAUAUUUCUUAUGAAUGUCUUCCUCUUGCUUCGCGUCCAUCGAUUUUUCAUUCCAUUACGUAGGUUAAACGGUGGAUAUUAUGUGUUAUUAAAUGUCCCACUAUUUCCCCAAUUCAAGAUCUAAUGACAGCAGUAAAUAUACACUUUGCUCUCUUAAUAUUUUGAGAAACAAUCGAUAACUUAGCACGAAUUUCCCUCGUUUGCUCCGUGUAUCCGUGUAUCACAGUAGUUUUCUACCGAUUACGCGUCAAUGCAGUGAUAGUAAAUGUAUUACGAAGAGUAUCAAUAAGAAGUGACAAAAGUCUGAACUAAUAAUAGCGCUUGUUAAUCGACUAGUUGAUCAAUUUUAAUACGUAAAAUACGAGUUCGAACCUAAUCGUAAAUUGUGAAUUUAAACGACUAGAUACACAAGGGAAUUAAUUGAAAAUAAAUAAAAUAAGGUAUUCAAAGUUCUAAGAGAAACGAGAAAUGUGUUAGUUUUACAUAUUAAUGUAUUUUUUGUAUUUUUUCUUAACAACUUAUCAAACCAGAUUUUCCUAUCAAAAACUUUACUGGAACUAUCUAGAGCAUGUUUGAUCCGGUUGGUACAUUGAAGUGGUUAUUUAUUCCCUUGUAGUUUUAUUAAUAAAUAGAAAAACUGGAAAUUUUUUUCAAGGGUUACCUUGAUAGCAAUAGAAAAAAGAUUUCCUACGAAAUUAGAUUAGUGUGAAGCCACUGUUAUAGGCAAUUUAAUAUAUAUUUGUCAUCAACAAUAAACCAUUGCUAACGAAAAAAUGAUUUUGAGUGCAGAUCAGUUGAUAGUGAUGCUUUGUUAAAAAUAUAUAUAUAUACAUAUAUGUAUGUUAUAUUAUAGUAAAAUAAUUAAAUAGGCAUUAUAUAUUUUCUUUCAUAAUAUUUGUUUAAUAUUGUACUGAUUUUCCCGUUUUUCCUACGUUUUUUGGUGGUUUUUUACAUUUUCUG